rnacentral:rRNA from 1 species
UACGGAGGGUGCAAGCGUUAUCCGGAUUCACUGGGUUUAAAGGGUGCGUAGGUGGGCAAGUAAGUCAGUGGUGAAAUCUCCGGGCUUAACCCGGAAACUGCCAUUGAUACUAUUUGUCUUGAAUACUGUGGAGGUCAGCGGAAUAUGUCAUGUAGCGGUGAAAUGCUUAGAUAAUGACAUAGAACACCAAUUGCGAAGGCAGCUAGGCUACACAA